rnacentral:lncRNA from 1 species
GAGUGUCUCUUGGCUGGACACUCAUCCCCCCUUCUUUUGAAACUGUCUCUCUGGCCUACUGCUGGUCAGCACCUGCCUGGCAAAGACCCUCUCCCUGGCCACUGAAAAGCUGCCUCCUGUCUGUCCGGGAGGAUGAGAAGAACACUGGAGUGACACCUGCCUACUCUUUGCCACAACUUGCUGUGUGACCUUGGGCAAGUCACUUCCCCUCUCUGGGCCUGAGUUGUUUUUUUUUUUGUUUUUUUUUUUUAAGUUUUUUGUUUUUUGUUGUUUCUUUUUUUUUGGCUGCCCCGUGGCAUAUGGAGUUCCCAGGCAAAGGAUUAGAUCUGAGCCACAGUUGCGACCUAUACCACAGCUAUAGUAUCCUUUAACCCACUGUGCUGAUCCAGGGAUUGAACCUGUGUCCAGGCGCUGCAGAGAUACUACCAAUCCCAUUGUGCCACAGGAGGAACACCUCUGGGCCUGAGUUUUAAAAAGAGGGAGACAGACUUGGAACUUCUGGAGUGCUCAGGAUGUACUAUGUUCUUGACAUGCAGGGUCCCCACAAACCCUUGCCAAGGACCCUGUGACACGAUCUUCUUAUUCUCAGUUUACAGGGGAGCGGACACCUCCUGGGAGCAGGUAAAGCAGUUGUCUUGGGCCUGAGAGCAAGUUGGUUUAGGGCCGGGAUCUGAAGCCAGGUCUCUGGGACACCACUGCCUGAGCCCUUGCCCCUCCGAGGUGGCCUCCAGGGGAUCCUGAGGACGCUUCCAGAUUAAAGCACAGUCCUUUGCUGAGAUUUGAUGGGGGGGAAACACGAUCACUGAUGCAACUCCCACCAUGAGCUGCUGCAAAGCCCUGGCAGAAAGAUGAGAUUGGCCUCAGAGCAACAUGGGGCUGCCUGGCCGCGGCCACUCCCUGAGCCUGCUUGAAGCACCAACACCUGCUUCCCCAGGACAAAUAUGGACAGAGAAUAAAGAGAGACCUUCGAGGCCUGUUUAUUUAUAUUUCUAUUGUUUGUUCACUGAUGUGUCUGUAGCACCUAAACAGAGCCUGGCAAAUAGUAGAUGUUUGAUAAAUAUUUAUUGACUCAUCAGCUGGAGAUGUGUUGAUAUUUUUUUUAAUUUUUGUUGUUAUUGGUUUUAUAGCAGCACCUGCCACAUAUAGAAGUUCCCAGGGUAGGGGUUGAAUGGGAGCUUCAGCUGCCAGUCUCGGCCUCAGCCACAGCAACACUAGAUCCUUAACCCACUGAGCGAGGCCUGGUAUCAAACCUGC